AUUGAACGCUGGCGGAAUGCUUUACACAUGCAAGUCGAACGGUAGAGGGGGCAACCCCUCGAGAGUGGCGAACGGGUGAGUAAUAUAUCGGAACGUGCCCAGUCGUGGGGGAUAACGUAGCGAAAGUUACGCUAAUACCGCAUACGAUCUAAGGAUGAAAGCGGGGGAUCGCAAGACCUCGCGCGAUUGGAGCGGCCGAUAACAGAUUAGGUAGUUGGUGGGGUAAAGGCUCACCAAGCAAACAAUCUGUAGCUGGUCUGAGAGGACGACCAGCCACACUGGAACUGAGACACGGUCCAGACUCCUACGGGAGGCAGCAGUGGGGAAUUUUGGACAAUGGACGCAAGUCUGAUCCAGCCAUUCCGCGUGCAGGAUGAAGGCCCUCGGGUUGUAAACUGCUUUUGUACGGAACGAAAAGGUCUCUCUUAAUACGGGGGACUCAUGACGGUACCGUAAGAAUAAGCACCGGCUAACUACGUGCCAGCAGCCGCCGCAG
rnacentral:rRNA from 1 species